rnacentral:rRNA from 1 species
CGGAGGUUGCAAGCGUUGUUCGGAAUGACUGGGCGUAAAGGGAGCGCAGGCGGCCAAGUCAGUCUGAAAGUGAAAGCCCGGGGCUCAACCCCGGAAUUGCUUUGGAUACUGCCUGGCUUGAGUAUGCGAGAGGAAAGCGGAAUUCCAGGUGUAGCGGUGAAAUGCGUAGAUAUCUGGAGGAACACCGGUGGCGAAAGCGGCUUUCUGGCGCAUAACUGACGCUGAGGCUCGAAAGCGUGGGGAGCGAACGGGAUUAGAUACCCG